UACGUAGGGUCCGAGCGUUGUCCGGAAUUACUGGGCGUAAAGAGCUCGUAGGUGGUUUGUCGCGUUGUUCGUGAAAACUCACAGCUCAACUGUGGGCGUGCGGGCGAUACGGGGCAGACUAGAGUACUGCAGGGGAGACUGGAAUUCCUGGUGUAGCGGUGGAAUGCGCAGAUAUCAGGGAGGAACACCGGUGGGCGAAAGGCGGGCCUCUGGGCCGUAACUGACGCUGGAGGAGCGAAAGCAUGGGGAGCGAACAGG
rnacentral:rRNA from 1 species